ACUCACAAAGAACUGCCAGUACAGCCCAGAGAGGUCCCACGGCCGGCCAUCCAGCUCCCCGAGGGUAACAUCUCACACAGCUAUAAUAUGAAGACCAGGAAACUGACACUGGCACAACACGAUGGACUUGACUCCAGACCUUGAUCCUACUACGGUGAAUCCACUGAACACAAAGAUACACAGGAACUCACGUCACCCAACCACAUGGCAAGUUUCUCCCUAGAUCUUGGGAUUCUGACUUGAUGAUGUUUCCAUUCCAUUGCCAUCAAGGUUCCUACUUCCUGCUUUGCCCUGGUGCUCAAGAAACAGAUCCUAUUGAGCUGUGAAGGGGCCAAGUCCGCCAUGCCUUUCUUUGUGCCUGACAGCUCUCAGAAGCCAGCCAGGCCUGGGAGCUUGCUUCAGAUCCGAGCCAGGAAACCCUGAGAGCAGGAGAUGGCCUACGCUUGGAGAACGAGGCACUGGAAACCUCACAACACUGGGAGGCACUCGGUUUUCUGAUGGAGCAGAGAAAAGCCUUAUUUGGUUGUUGAAUAAGAUACACAACAAGGUCACAUUUACCUUUGUCCCUCCGAUGUCAUUUUUCACAUAAGACUUUGUGACAUGCUUGACUCCCAAGCCCUGGCUUUCAACGUGACAUUUGAUAAAUCUUUCAUUCAUUCCUUUUCAAAAAAUGUUUAUUGAAUGAGUUCUGCUAGAUGCCUGAAACACAGACGAGCAGCGCCUGGUCUCCUUUUAGAGGGUAUUGGAGACAAUAGAAAUCUCUUACACUUGCAGACAACAUCCAGCUUCCAAAGCACUUCACACACAUCAUCUAACUUAAUCCUGGGGACCAGCGUGGCAGAGUGUAGAUGAAGCCUUUGCUGCCCGAGCAAAGGAUGGGAGGCAGAGGACCCUUGACAGGAGAAGCCACCAGGGCUGGCGGGUGUUGUCCUCAGUGUUACCAACUCACUUUGCACUUAGGAAAUGUAGGUGCUAAAAGUGUGUGUUCUCUGGCUACCGAGGUACAAGGCUGUCUGGGUAUGAAGAGCCUCUCGGGAGAUUAAAUUUGUUAUCCUUCAAAGAAAUCUUUGAAAGUGAGGACACUUUAUUCAGAAAGAAAAUUGGCCUUCCUCUCAAAGAAGACUACAGAGAAGAUAUUUUCAAAGCGACGGCUUAAUGAGGUAGAAAGAAUUCUGAACAAGUUGCUGGGAGGUUGAUAGCCUGGUCUUUGCUCUGUGGCUUUUGGAAAAUGAGGAUAUGGGGCCAAAUUAUUUCCAAACUGCAGGUCAAAAAUUCUGCAUGAGGUACCAGGCAGGUUUGCCGUUAUAAAUGUCGUUAAGCAGUUCCUGAAAAGGGCUUGAUCAAAUGCAGUUUUAGAAAUUACACGAUUAUUGUUACUUGUACGUGUGUUUAUUUAAUUGUUGGGACUGGUCCGAUGUCAAGGGCUAAAGAGCAUUUUCAGUGUUCUUAUUUUGAGGUGUCCUGUCACAUGUGCUGUAAGAAGGAAGUAUAUGGACAGAAAGCACAGUGCCUGGAACAAAACAGACAUUUCAUCAGCAUUUGCUUCAUAAAUACAUGAAGACAUGGAUGGAUGAAUGAAGGAAUGAGGAACAGAUGACUUUAGGAAGCAAAGAACAGAAUUCUGUCCUGGUGACAACCCGGAGAAUGCAGAAGGAUAUGGUUCUGAGAAGAGCAUCAAAGGAUCAUGUGCCCAAAACAAAAGUCAUGUCACCAGGAAACAAAAGAGUGACUUGGAGGGAGGUGGGGUGGGGUGGGUGGGUACAUCUGUUAAAACACAAGUUUUAAUUUUGCUGCCUUAGUCCUACUAUUGUUUUCUCAAGCUUAGUUUGGUGAUUUAUUGUUAAGUAGCCUAGUUGCCUGUGUUCUCUGAUCCUGGAUAUUUCCAUUCGGAAAAUGAGGUUACUCCUGUCCCCGCUCCAAGUCAACACAAUUCUGGGCAGAUCCAAGCAUCAGAUUUAAAUCCAGAGUCCCAGGUGAUAGGAAAAGACAUUUGUCAUUUGAUGUCAUCUUCUGCUAUCAGGUCAGCCACUUGGGGUACCCUAGGCUCCUUGGCAUUUUGGCCUGCGAGCUGUCACACCAACAGUGCCCCCGAGGUGAUGUCCACUCUCUCAGCUGUGCAGGUGCACACUGGAGGGCUUGACACCUCUAGACAUCUCUCUCAUCAAAGAAGCCCUUGGCUACAGCCACGGAGGUCUGUCUAUGUCCCUUCCUGGCCCUCCGUUUGCUGUGGCUGUGUCUCCUGGGGAAAUGUGCUCAUUUUUCUUCUGGACCUUGUCAACUCCCUUCAAGAUCUAGCACCGGCUUUGAAAACCUCCAACACACAAGAUCAUCUAGCAUUUACUCUUUCUGAUGAAACGACUUAUCAGAUUAAAUUUUGUGGCGUUAUCACUUUAUGCAUAAACUUUGUCUUUCAACUGGCUUAAACAUGUGUAGGGUAGAAACUGUAUUUGGUGUACAUCUCUGUCCCCACAGUGCCCAGCUGGGGCUAACUGAGCAUCUGUUGACUGGCAGCGAUGACAGGGUGAAGUUACGAUGGAGCGAUCACAGCUCAGGCACACAGAAGCGGAGCUGGGCGGCCACUGAGGAGCUAGCCUCAGACACGUCUCUGCACCACUGAAAACUUGAACUUUCUUUGAACUGUUCCAGACUCAAGGACACCACCAGCCGUAUUCAGAACAAUGCCUGCCAGCUACACCUUAUGGUCUCAAGGUCUCCCCUUGUGAUCAUGUAACCAUUUUGGGUCCCAACCAAUCCUUACUCAAUAAGUACCCUUACUUCUUGCCAGCUCUAAUUAUAAUUCUUGGUAAACAACUCAUGUAACUAACUGUAACCUUGCUGUGUGUGCUUUUAUAAACCUCCUCCAUUUUGUAGUCUGGCGGAACACAAUUCAAGUGCUUCUUAAAACUCUGUCUCCUGGGCUGCAGUCCUAACAAAUUCCAAAUAAAUGGCUUUUUAUUUCAA